rnacentral:lncRNA from 1 species
ACACAGAUUCGAGUUCUAAUCACCUAUUCUAAUGUUUUCUUUCUUCCUUCCUCCCUCCCUCUCCCUCUCUCUCUUUUUUCUUUUAUAUCUUGGGCUGGUUUAUAUAUGAAUAUGUGUAAAUAGAUAUGUCAUUGCUCUUGUUUAGUAUUUAGCUUUAAAAAAAAAUCAAAUUUAUUUUUUCUUUCAAUUUCACAUUUUGUUAUUUUGAGUUCCUUAAGAUAGUUUUCUAUUCAUCCCUCUUGAAGCUAGUUAUUGUUAGCAGAUUCUAUUUCAUAGUUGUUAUUGUUAGCAUAUUCCAUGUUGUUCACUAACUAUAAACAAUACACACACCACAUACCAUACAGACACCACACACACACACCACAUGCACACCACACACAUGCACACGCACACGCACACCACAUACCACAUGCUCACCACAUACAGACAUACCACAUGCACACCACACACAUACAUAUCACACACACCCCCCACAUUCACACUACACACAUACACAUCACCCCCCCACCACACACACACCACACACACAUACACACACACCACAUGCACACCACACACAUACACACACACACACACACACACACACACACACACACACCACACAUGCACACCACACACAUACACACACACCACAUGCACACCACACACACAUACCACAUGCACACCACACACAAACAUAUACCACAUGCACACUACAUGCACACCACACACACACACACACACACACACACACACACACACACACACAAGUUUUCACAACACUUCCUCUGCUCCAGUGUGAUGUGAUUUGAAAGGAAAACCAUCAAAGAUGGCUUUUUUUUAAUUCAGUACACUUUGAGUGCUGGUGAAGUGCCAAAAUGUUUAAGUGCCCUGGCUCCUGGGACUCCCCCAUGUCCCCCUUCUUUCUCUGUUCCAAAGAAUAAGAUCUAUUAUUUGUUCUGUCCUUCGCUAUGUCCUCUAGAUUCUUGGAUGAAAUUCACAAGGAGUUUUUAAAGCCUACUUGCCCCUCUGAUGAUGGCUGGUGAUUUAAAUUUGCAUUCUAAUGUGGCUCUUAAGAGAGCAGCCUUAACCUUCCCUGUGCUUUACCGUGAAGAUUUAAAGAAAGGCACAUGGUGACCAAUACUUUGUAUAUAUCACUUGUUCAUGGUGUGCUUUCAGUUUAACAAGUGACCCUUUCUUUGUGUGUGAGGUGUAUGGUAUGUGCAUGUGUGGUGUGGUGUGUAGUAUGUAUCUGUGUGUGGUGUGGUGUAUGUGUGUGUGUGUGAGCGUGGUGUACAUGUGGUGUGUAUGUGGUGUGGUGUGCAUGUGGUAUGUGUGUGUAUGCAUGUGGUAUGUGUGUGUGGGUGGUGUGCAUGUGAUAUGUGUGUAUGCAUGUGGUAUGUGUGUGUGUGUGUGUGGUGUGCAUGUGAUAUGUGUACAUGUGUGUGAUAUGUGGUGCAUGUGUGUGGUGUGUGUUGUAUGUGUUUAUGUGUGUGUGUGUUUGUGUGUAUAUAUAUAUGAUGUGUGUGACUGUCUUUCAUAUGCAAACCAUAGUCCUCAAAGGCCAAUUUUUUGUGUAAUUUCUCUUCCGAGUUCAGUUUACAUAGUAAUGCACAUGAUAAAGACCUAGUGAAUACUUCUCAUUGAUCUUGGUGUCUUUGUCUUUAAACACUCCUUUUGAUGACCGAUAAAUGAUCAGAACCAACGACUGCUCUGACCUCUUGCCUUUACAGUAGGUCCGAAAGAGAUCAUCCUUAAAUAGGUUUGAUCCUGUCACCGUGUACCCAUCAGGACUUCUUGUUGCCUAGAGAUCUUGGUCCCAACCCUCCUUUUUUAUUUUACACAUUCUUCCAGAAUAUUCAGGGCCCUGAUCAUUAUCACUAGCGUAACCUGUAUCCUUACUGACACAGCGGACUCCAGUCAGUGGUUUCUGUCCUUCCUGGACAGGCUCCACGUAUUCUAGCUGCUGACCUUUGCUCAGCCUGUCUGCCCUCCAGGGGCACGGGCCUUCUCUGAUUGGCUUGUCCUCCAUGCCCUCUCCUGUCUUCCCCACAACAGUCUGGGCCAGCCCUGUCCUCCCCAGCUUGUCUCUUACCUUCAUCACUAAGCAGCACCCUUGUCACCCAUCUCCAAGAUCUUCCAGACACUUCUUGGUAAAGCCACCCAGGACCCCUCUUGCCCUUCUCUUCCCUCUCUUACUCUCUUCCUACUAAAGUUUGGGUACUGCAUAGCACAUCCUUCAGUAUACACCUAUAUUUGAGGUCAUUUGAUAAGGGAUUAUUGCCUCCACUUUAAACUUUUGUAAGUAGCCUGUGCUGCUUCAUCCCGGCCUCCUUGUAUCUCCUGUAGGCCACAAGGGAUGCAUACUAAAUAUUGAUGAAUACAUUGUUGAUAGUAAAAAUAGUAAAAAUUCCUGUCCCUACCUCUUACCCCCAUUUACCCUCGGGAAUUGUCCCAGUCUCCCAUUCAAACCCUUCUC